rnacentral:rRNA from 1 species
AGCAGCCGCGGUAAUUCCAGCUCCAAUAGCGUAUAUUAAAGUUGUUGCAGUUAAAAAGCUCGUAGUUGAAUUUCGGGAUCAGUACGCUGGUCGUGCCUUCGGUAUGCACUGGUGUCGCUGAUCCCUCCCUUCUGAAGAACCAUCAUGCCAUUCACUUGGUGUGGUGGGGAAUCAGGACUGUUACUUUGAAAAAAUUAGAGUGUUUAAAGCAGGCUCACGCUUGAAUACAUUAGCAUGGAAUAAUGAAAUAGGACGUUCGAACCUAUUUUGUUGGUUUCUAGGAUCGACGUAAUGAUUAAUAGGGAUAGUUGGGGGCAUUAGUAUUCAAUUGUCAGAGGUGAAAUUCUUGGAUUUAUUGAAGACUAACUACUGCGAAAGCAUUUGCCAAGGAUGUUUUCAUUAAUCAAGAACGAAAGUUAGGGGAUCGAAGACGAUCAGAUACCGUCGUAGUCUUAACCAUAAACUAUGCCGACUAGGGAUCGGAUGAUGUUAAUUUUAUAAUGUA